CUUAGGGGUGUCUCCACCAUGGCCUGGAUUCCUCUCCUCCUGCCCUUCAUCAUUGUCCGCACAGGUUCUCUGGCCUCCUAUGUGCUGACCCAGGCUCCCUCCAGUCUGUGACCCUGGGCCAGACAGCCACCCUCACCUGUGCAGGAGAUCAGCUGGACAAGAUGUAUGCUGAUUGGUACCAGCAGAAAUGGGGCCAGACUCCUGUGCUACUAAUUUACAAUGACAAGGAGCGACCAGAGGGGGUCUCUGACCGAUUCUCUGGCUCCAGCAGCAACAAAGUGGCCACUUUAACCAUCUCUGGGGUCCAGGCUGAGGAUGAGGCUGAUUAUUACUGUCUGUCAUUGGAUGAUAAUACCAAAGCUCACAGUGAUUGAGAGAGAUGAGGAAGUGAGACACAAACCCCUCUCUGUCCCCUGGGCCUUCAGCCUCUCUCCUUCAUCUCUGUUUCCCUGCUGGCCCCAGGCAGAGCCUUCAUGGGGCUGAAU